rnacentral:rRNA from 1 species
GACGAACGCUGGCGGCGUGCUUAACACAUGCAAGUCGAACGAAAAGACCCUGCUCUUGUGGGGUGCACGAGUGGCGAACGGGUGAGUAUCACGUGAGUAACAUGCACUUGACUUUGGGAUAACUUCAGGAAAAAGGGGCUAAUAUCGCAUAGGAGCUCCUGCUGCACGGGGGGCAUUGGAGAGAUUCGGCGGUUGGGUAUGGACUCGCGGGUUAUCAGCUUGUUUGUGGAGUAGUGGAUUACCAAGGCUUUGACGGGUAGCCGGCCUUGGAGGGGGACCGGCCACAAGAGUACUGAGAGACGGCGCAGACUGCAACGGGAGGCAACAGUGGAGAAUAUGGCACAGUGGGCGGGAGCCUGAUGUAGCGACGCUGCGUGCGGGAUACCGUGCUACGGGUUGAGAACCGCUGUCGCAGGAGCUAAGGCGGGAGUGACGGUAACUAGUAAAGAAGCACCGGCUAACUACGUG